AUUAUAAGUGCAAUAGACCAGUGAUUCUUACUGUAGACGCUAGUCCAAUUGCCGUUGGAUGGGCUGUGGAUCAAGAUGAUUCAAGUAGGAAUAGAUUUGCAGUUCGAUUUGGGGCUAAAGUUUUAAGUAUUCGUCAGCGUGCAUAUUCGCAAGUCAAAAGAGAACUUUGGGGAGUCGUUUUGGCUAUGAAAGCUGAAAAGGACUAUUUGAUUGGGGCAGUAGU
rnacentral:lncRNA from 1 species